UUUAUUAUUGAAUAAUGGAAAGUGAUUUUUAUCACUGAAUUUUUGAACAUAUUCCUAUUGCCAUUCAUUCAAAAUAAAAUUUUAUUUUAUUUUAUUUACAAGGACAAUCGAAUAAAAAUAUAUACUUAAUACAAAAGAAUAAAUUUAAGGAUUAAAAAUAAUUUAUUAUAUUUGAUUAAAAAAUAAAAAGGAGAAAAAAGAUUUAAAAACGAAUACCACCAAAAUUUUACGUAUUUUAAUAAAAUGAGAAGGCUGAUAUAUUUGCCGAAAAAUCUUUCAUAGCGAAAAAAGGUAAGUUUCUUUAAUUUUGGAACCGAAAAUGAAAUGUAUGGCUAAUAAAUAGAGUAAGUACUGUUUAAAGUAAAUAAAAGUUAUGGUCAUUCGGAAUAUCGCAAUCAAAAAAUUUUUCAGUAUCUCCCUUGAAGAUAGAAAGCUGAAAUUUAAUACGUACAUAGAUCUUUACUAGAAACUUAUUUCCGUAGAGCAAAAUUUUACCUAUCUCCCCCGAUCUAGAAGUUUUAGGGGCAUUUAAACAAUUACAAAUAGUUCAUUUCAUUAGAAGAAAAUUUUUUUCCAUGU